rnacentral:rRNA from 1 species
ACGAACGCUGGCGGCGUGCUUAACCCAUGCCAGUCGAACGGUGAAGCGCCUUCCUUUUUGGUGGGUGUGGAUGAGUGGCGAACGGGUGAGUAACACGUGAGUAACCUGCCCCCUUCUUCUGGAUAACCGCAUGAAAGUGUGGCUAAUACGGGAUAUUCUGGGUCUGUCGCAUGAUGGGUCUGGGAAAGAUAUUGUUUCGGUGGGGGAUGGGCUCGCGGCCUAUCAGCUUGUUGGUGGGGUGAUGGCCUACCAAGGCGGUGACGGGUAGCCGGCCUGAGAGGGUGGACGGUCACACUGGGACUGAGACACGGCCCAGACUCCUACGGGAGGCAGCAGUGGGGAAUAUUGCACAAUGGGCGCAAGCCUGAUGCAGCGACGCCGCGGGAGGGAUGGAGGCCUUCGGGUUGUGAACCUCUUUCGCCAGUGAAGCAGGCCUGCCUCGUUUGUGGGUGGGUUGACGGUAGCUGGAUAAGAAGCGCCGGCUAACUACGUG